rnacentral:rRNA from 1 species
UACGUAGGGUGCGAGCGUUGUCCGGAAUUAUUGGGCGUAAAGAGCUCGUAGGCGGUGUGUCACGUCGAUCGUGAAAACUUUCAGCUUAACUGUGGGCGUGCGGGCGAUACGGGCAGACUGGAGUACUGCAGGGGAGACUGGAAUUCCUGGUGUAGCGGUGGAAUGCGCAGAUAUCAGGAGGAACACCGGUGGCGAAGGCGGGUCUCUGGGCAGUAACUGACGCUGAGGAGCGAAAGCGUGGGGAGCGAACAGG